ensembl:lncRNA
AGAGGAGGGUCACACACACACACACACACACACACACACACACACACACNAGUUUAUUGCUGAAUAAAUCAAUACCCAAAUACCGACCACAGCCUUACUUUCAUGAUUUACAGCCAUGAUUUCACUAACCAAUUUUUGUUCUACAGUGCUGUUUAUUUUAAUAUUAAUUUAUUGUAUUAAUUAUAUAUUAUUUAUAUUAUGUUAUUGUUGACUUUGUCUUAGGCUGCGUUUGAAGGUCUGAUGCUUUGCUGACAUUCAGGCUUAAAAAAAGACAAAAUAAAAAGAUAAAGUGAACGAGGUGGAAAAGCAAAAAAGUGAACAGUUCAGUAUAUUGAUGAGGAAAGACCUCUCAUAAAUUAUUAAGUAUCUGAUAACCUUGCACAGUAGUUUUCUUUCUUGCCCCAUCAAUGUGGGAAAUGGCUUGUCUUAUCUUAUCAGCUGUUGACUAUCUCAUUCUCCCUGAGCUUGCAGUGUUUGCAUAGGGGCUGCUGCAGAGAGCUUGCAGGUGUGAAGUCUGCUCCGUCAGGGUUUUAGCCCUUGGCAUAGUUGGCUCCCUUCACUGAAUUGUUGAUAUAUCUCACCCUCUGGCAUCUUUCCACCUUUCACAGAAUCCCUUGUUCUUCUUUUUUGCUCCUUAUAACUCUGCCAGAAGAAUCCCUCAUCUGUGGUUCCUGUUUGAACAACACACAGAAAAAGACAUUGUUAGAGCGCUCUCAAAAGGAAGAGAUCUUGAAGCCCCCUGCUGAUUGUAUGGGGUGGAUUCUGAAUUCUCAACCCUCACGUCCCCUCAGGGCCGUCAGGACCGCCACCAUCAGCCCAGGUAAUCCCUAAUAGCUUUACUGCAGACCUAUCCCAAAAUAUCCAACAACAAACCCACCCCUACACUUCCAUCUACCAAGCUUACC